GAUGAACGCUGGCGGCGUGCCUAAUACAUGCAAGUCGAGCGAACGGACGAGAAGCUUGCUUCUCUGAUGUUAGCGGCGGACGGGUGAGUAACACGUGGAUAACCUACCUAUAAGACUGGGAUAACUUCGGGAAACCGUAGCUAAUACCGGAUAAUAUUUUGAACCGCAUGGUUCAAAAGUGAAAGACGGUCUUGCUGUCACUUAUAGAUGGAUCCGCGCUGCAUUAGCUAGUUGGUAAGGUAACGGCUUACCAAGGCAACGAUGCAUAGCCGACCUGAGAGGGUGACCGCCCACACUGGAACUGACCCACGGUCCAAACUCCUACGGGAGGCCGCAGUAGGGAAUCUUCCGAAAUGGGCGAAAGCCUGACGGAGCAACCCCGCGGGGGUUAUGAAGGUCCUCGGAUCGUAAAACUUUGUUUUUGGGGAAAAACAUUUGUGUAAGUAACUGUGCCCAUCUUGACUGUACCUAAUCAGAAAGCCCCGGCUACCUCCGU
rnacentral:rRNA from 1 species